AAAAAGGGCUUCUGUUGUGAGUGGCACAUGUGGGGUAACUCAACUGCUCUUGGUGCAGAAUCCACAUCAAGAGAUUUCAGAAGCAUAAUUUUUUGGAACUUGGGCAGCUGGUGAUCGUUGAUCCCGGCAUCCAU
ensembl:snRNA